rnacentral:rRNA from 1 species
GAUGAAUGCUGGCGGUGUGCCUUAGGCAUGCAAGUUGAAUGCCGAUACUUGUAUCGGCAUGGCAGACGGGUGAGUAACACGUGAGAAUCUACCCUAAAGUGGGGAAUAGUCCAUCGAAAGGUGGGGUAAUACCGCAUGUGGUCGCAAGACCAAAGUCGCAAGACGCUUUAGGAGGAGCUCGCGCGCUAUCAGCUUGUUGGUGGGGUAAUGGCCUACCAAGGCUACGACGGCUAGCCGGUGUGAGAGCACGACCGGCCACAAGGUUACUGAAACACGGAACCUACACCUACGGGUGGCUG